rnacentral:rRNA from 1 species
AUGUCCGGGGUCAACAUUAGUGGAACUUGGCGCACCCUAGUGCCAUCGGCUUCUUGGCGUUUCGAAACGAAGACUGCAAGGGGCCUCGAGGUGGUGGUGGUGCAUCUCUACACCCCACAGGAGGAAGAGCUUGGGCAAGAGGCGUCCAUGGUGGCCAGAGCCGAGGUGGAUGACGAAGCAGUGGUCCCGCGGUUGAAGACGAACGGCAAUGGCACGGGUAACAAGGGAGGUCCGAGGGCGCGGUGGUGCUGA